rnacentral:tRNA from 1 species
GUCCCUGUAGCGCAAUGGAUAGCGCGUUGGACUUCUAAUGCAGAGGUCGUGGGUUCGAAUCCCACCUGAGAGG